rnacentral:rRNA from 1 species
GUAACACCGGCAGCCCGAGUGGUGAUCACUAUUAUUGGGUCUAAAGGGUCCGUAGCCGGUUUAAUCAAGUCUUCUGGGAAAUCUAAUCGCUUAACUAUUAGGCUUCCAGGGGAUACUGUUAGACUUGGGACCGGGAGAGGUAAGAGGUACUGCAGGGGUAGGAGUGAAAUCUUGUAAUCCCUGUGAGACCACCAGUGGCGAAGGCGUCUUACCAGAACGGGUCCGACGGUGAGGGACGAAAGCUGGGGGCACGAACCGGAUUAGAUACCCGGGUAGUCUCAGCUGUAAACGAUGCUCGUUAGGUGUCAGGAACGGUGCGACUGUUUCUGGUGCCGAAGGGAAGCCGUGAAACGAGCCACCUGGGAAGUACGGCCGCAAGGCUGAAACUUAAAGGAAUUGGCGGGGGAGCACUACAACGGGUGGAGCCUGCGGUUUAAUUGGACUCAACGCCGGAAAACUCACCGGGGGCGACAGCAAUAUGUAGGUCAGGUUAAAGGUCUUACCUGAAUCGCUGAGAGGAGGUGCAUGGCCGUCGUCAGUUCGUACUGUGAAGCAUCCUGUUAAGUCAGGCAACGAGCAAGACCCGUGCCCACUGUUACCAGCAUAUCCUUUAUGGAUGAUGGGGACUCUGUGGGGACCGCUGCUGCUAAAGCAGAGGAAGGUGCGGGCUACGGUAGGUCAGUAUGCCCCGAAUCUCCCGGGCUACACGCGGGCUACAAUGGUUGGGACAAUGGGUAUCUACUCCGAAAGGAGUUGGCAAUCUCUUAAACCCAAUCGUAGUUCGAAUUGAGGGCUGUACUCGCCCUCAUGAAGCUGGAAUCCGUAGUAAUCGCGUUUCAACAUAGCGCGG